UCAGCAGAAUAACCUUUCUGUAAUGCGUAAUGCAGUCAUGCAUGUGUUUCCUGUUUCCAGGCUUGGUCUGAACAAACUCGAGUGGUUUGCUGGAUGUCCUCAUGGAGAAAGGGCUCUCGACAUGUGCAGAGGAGCAGCACAGCACCUGGCUCUCGAUACAGCCCUCAGAUGAAGGAGGCAAAAUAGCACUUCAGGCACUGUAAAGAGGAUCUGCUUCUUUGAUGUGGACAUUGCGGAGUUUAACUGGCAGAAGGCAGUGUCUUUACAUUGCUCCAUGAUGUAGAUGGAUCACUCUUUGCCAGCUGCCAAAUCAAAUAUUUCUGAACAGUCCCUGCCUUUGGCAACGUCCUCAGUGUUGUGGUGAUGGAUCCCUUGAAAGGACACCGCAGAACAGGCUUCAUGCUGCCCCUGUACUUCAAGCUCUCUGCUCUGCACGAAGCUGCACUGUUCAGAAGAAGCAAGAUUCUUUCCUCACAGCUACGGCACUGCGACACAGCCUGCUUUUUCGCAUCUACCUGGGUGGCUGCUGCUGGUUCUGCUACUGCUGCAGCCUCGCUGCCUGCGCUUCACCCCAGCUUGGCUGAUGCGAGUCUCCCUCGUCUGCACAUCGCUAAGGAAGAGAAGCGAUGGAGCCACAGUUUUUCUGUUGGUUCUGGAAGCAAAGGGUUGUGAUGUGGGGUGGCUUGGGGGUUUUCUUUUUUUGGUGGGGGGAGAAAGGAGGGAUGUUAAUCUAGGGUGGAGUGGGUAAAAGCCUAAAGAAAUAUGAUGAAAAGUAAUCCAGUGCUCAACAAGGGCAUCAGCAGCAAGAAUCCAGCCUC
rnacentral:lncRNA from 1 species